GACGUAGGAGGCGAGCGUUGUCCGGAUUCAUUGGGCGUAAAGAGCUUGUAGGCGGUUUGUCGCGUCUGCUGUGAAAUUUCGGGGCUCAACCCCGAACUUGCAGUGGGUACGGGCAGACUAGAGUGUGGUAGGGGAGACUGGAAUUCCUGGUGUAGCGGUGAAAUGCGCAGAUAUCAGGAGGAACACCGAUGGCGAAGGCAGGUCUCUGGGCCACUACUGACGCUGAGAAGCGAAAGCAUGGGGAGCGAACAGG
rnacentral:rRNA from 1 species